UCCCUCUUAGCUCAGUUGGUAGAGCGCGUCACUAGUAUGUCACUAUGUGGAGAUAUUGAAAUGCUCAGUCUAUGACGAGGUCAGUCGUUCAAGUCGGCUAGAGGGAA